rnacentral:rRNA from 1 species
UACGUAGGCAGCGAGCGUUGUUCGGAGUUACUGGGCGUAAAGGGUGUGUAGGCGGUUCGGUAAGUCUGGUGUGAAAUCUCCCGGCUCAACUGGGAGGGUGCGCCGGAAACUGCCAAACUAGAGUGCGGGAGAGGAAAGUGGAAUUCCUGGUGUAGCGGUGAAAUGCGUAGAUAUCAGGAGGAACACCGGUGGUGUAGACGGCUUUCUGGACCGAUACUGACGCUGAGGCGCGAAAGCGUGGGGAGCAAACAGG